CCUACGGGAGGCAGCAGUAGGGAAUCUUCCGCAAUGGACGAAAGUCUGACGGAGCAACGCCGCGUGAACGAUGAAGGCCUUCGGGUCGUAAAGUUCUGUUGUUAGGGAAGAACAAGUGUUAGUUGAAUAAGCUGGCACCUUGACGGUACCUAACCAGAAAGCCACGGCUAACUACGUGCCAGCAGCCGCGGUAAUACGUAGGUGGCAAGCGUUGUCCGGAAUUAUUGGGCGUAAAGCGCGCGCAGGCGGUUUCUUAAGUCUGAUGUGAAAGCCCCCGGCUCAACCGGGGAGGGUCAUUGGAAACUGGGAAACUUGAGUGCAGAAGAGGAAAGUGGAAUUCCAAGUGUAGCGGUGAAAUGCGUAGAGAUUUGGAGGAACACCAGUGGCGAAGGCGACUUUCUGGUCUGUAACUGACGCUGAGGCGCGAAAGCGUGGGGAGCAAACAGGAUUAGAUACCCUGGUAGUCCACGCUGUAAACGAUGAGUGCUAAGUGUUAGAGGGUUUCCGCCCUUUAGUGCUGAAGUUAACGCAUUAAGCACUCCGCCUGGGGAGUCGGUCGCAAGCUGAAACUUAAGGAAUUGACGG
rnacentral:rRNA from 1 species